GCAUUGCUGAGGAGUUCCAUAAUAGGACGAAACAGCCGUUCAUUGC
rfam:Schistosoma haematobium scaffold1993_4, whole genome shotgun sequence.